rnacentral:lncRNA from 1 species
GCAGAAAAAGAAGGUUCUAUAGCCAUGCAAUCUUCAGAUCCAGCACACUUCACUCCUAAAGGGACAAGUAUUUUUCCAAGCAAUUUGAAUUCUGCAAUUGGAAGUUCUGGGUUACCUGCUUCCCAGAUGUUUGGGAGUGCAAUAAAAGAUGGAGAGAAUCAGAAUGAAUUAUUCCAACAACAAGCCCAAGCUCUUAGUCAAACCAUGAAACAAGUACGUCACCGGCUGGCAUCCCAUAAAACUGUGAGUAAAAAAAAGUCAUCAGUGUUUCCAGAUGGUAUGAGGAAAAGCUUUUCUAUCCAACAGGAAUCUGACAGUGAGGAAGUAUUAUCUAUUAUAACAAAUGAGAAAGGGAGAGACGAUUUAUUUUGGGGAGACAAGCAGAGUCUCUUUUCUGAAGACAAUGAUAAGCCUUUUAGCAGAGUUCAGGUAAAGCAAUAAGAGUAAGUGAAAUAAUUGUGAUUUGGAAUAGGGAUUGCCAGUAUUGUUAUACUGGUUUGGAAUUGUAGAGUUAGAUUCUUUCAAGUUGGGCAGACUGUGACUUCACAUUUUAUUUUAGUAAUUUGUUGAAUACUCUUGCCAUUUUAAGAUCAUUUUAGGAAUCUCAUGGAAAACUAAGUGUUACUGUUUUAUAACAUUCUAUAUUUGUUGUUUAUGUUCACUUUUAGAAAGUAAAAUUCAAAAAUCCAUUAUUUGUUGUCAUAGAAGAGAAAGAACAAAAGCAGUCACAUUUUCAGGGUCUUGAAGCCCAGGAUUAUCCUCUGGAAACCAAAGGUGAUUUGAUAGAAGUUCAGAGUAUUGAGCCUGAAAAGAGUAUUGAGCCAGAUGUCCAGGCUGUUGAUCUGGAAGUUCAAGCUAUUGAGCCAGAAUGCCAAGCCAUUGAAUCAGAAGUCCAGGCUUUUAAGACAGAAACUUGGAGUAUUAUGAUAAAAGCCAGUAGCACUGAGAUAGAAAAUAGGAAUAUUGAGUUAAAAGCACAGGAUUUUCUACCCAAAAACCAGGCCUUUCUGCCCAAAUGUGAGGACCAAGAUUCUCUACCCCAAAACCCCUAUGUUCUCCCUAAAGACCAGAAUAUUCUACCCAAAUAUCAGGACCAGAAUUUUCUGCAUAAAAACCAGGAUUUUCUACCCAGAGACCAGGAUAUUCUACCCAAAUGUCAGGACCAAGACUUUCUACCUGAUAAAGACCAGGAUUUUCUAUCUAGAAACCAGCAUGUGUUCCCUGAAGACCAGAAUAUUCUACACAAAUAUCAGGACCAAGAUUUUCUACAUGAUGACCAGGAUUUUCUAUGUAGAGACCAGUGUGUUCUUCCCAAAGACCAGAAUAUUCUUCUCAAAUGCCAGGACCAGGAUUUUCUCCCUAAAGAUCAGUACAUUCUCCUCUCAGAUGAGAAUCUUCUAUACAAAUGUCAGAAGCAGGAUAUUCCACUCAAAGAUCAGCACAGUAACUAUGGGCAAGCAUCACAUGAUAUGACAGAUGAGAAAUGGAGAAGAGAGUUGCUUCCAGAGUACCACAGAUAUGGUUUACAUAAAAUCCAGGAUCCUGGCUCUGCCAGAGAUCAGAGCUUAAACUUUAGGCAGCAGCCAUCUGUUGGAACAGCUGAAAGAUGCCAAGAAGACUUGCUUCUGAAUCACCAUCAGCAUCUUGCACCCAAGCAUCAGAGAGACACUUGCAGGAGACGACAGGUUUAUAAUGAUUAUCAGUCAGGACUAAGCAAUGAAUUCCAAACUCCAUUGGCAUUUCAGUCUGGAGUAGAUAAAGAGGAAGACAAGAAAGAGCGUCAAAAGCAGUACCUGAGACACAGAAGACUUUUCAUGGAUAUUGAAAGAGAACAAGUAAAAGAACAAAAAAGACAAAAGGAACAAAAGAAGAAAAUUGAAAAGUAAGUUCUUUGAUUUGAUCCUCAUUCUGAGUCUUAAAUUACCUGUUAA